UACGUAGGGUGCGAGCGUUGUCCGGAAUUAUUGGGCGUAAAGCGCUCGCAGGUGGUUCGUUGCGUCGUGCGUGAAAGACCCCGGCUCAACUGGGGAACUGCGUGUGAUACUGGAUGGCUUGGAUUUGGGAGAGGGAUGCGGAAUUCCAGGUGUAGCGGUGAAAUGCGUAGAUAUCUGGAGGAACACCGGUGGCGAAGGCGGCAUCCUGGACCAAUAUUGACGCUGAGGAGCGAAAGCUAGGGGAGCAAACGGG
rnacentral:rRNA from 1 species